AAAAAAAUGAGCGAUCGGGUCAUUUUUCACACCCCGGGACAUUCAAUUUCUGCCCCUCUUUAUAAAUUAAUACCCCCUUCAAAUUAUAGCUGUGCACUGUUGUCUCUACAUUCUAGGGUUUUCUCUACUUUUAACUUAAAAAGGAGCGGUUCUGGUCUCUAUUCUUCUUCGUCGACCGCUCCUCUUGAAAUUUCCCCUUUCCUUCCCUCUAAUUUCUUGGAAUUCUCACGCUCACAUCACUGAAUUUUCCUUUCCCACAAACAGCCCCUUAGGAUAUUUCUCUAUAUCUUCACUAUCACAACAUUUCCCCAAGCCUCUUUGUCUUUAGAGGAAAAAAUCCACAAAUUGCAUUUCCCUCCCGACGAACACCCCCCCCAAAGUUCGGUUCGCAAUUAUCCAAUGCAACUGUCCGUUCCCACCGAAACCAAUUCAAAUGCCCUCCAAAACCUCGAAAACCCUGGAUCCCCAAAACCCACUUUGACAGAAGCUAAUUCUUCCUCUGCAGCUGCGGCUUUGGCGGCGGCGAAUGAUGAGGACAACAAUAAAAGUGAUGAUAAUCUGGAUGACGAAUUGGUUCUCGAUGUUACGGGA
rnacentral:misc_RNA from 1 species